GUGAUUGCCCUCUGGGCUUAAAACUAUAUCCAUAUACACCUGUGAACCGUUUGAUUGACUCUCUGAGUUGAUUUUACAAACAUUGUGUAAUGAACGUCUAGUUAUUAUAACAAAAAUAACUUUCAACAACGGAUCUCUUGGCUCUCGCAUCGAUGAAGAACGCAGCGAAGUGCGAUAAGUAAUGUGAAUUGCAGAAUUCAGUGAAUCAUCGAAUCUUUGAACGCAACUUGCGCUCUCUGGUAUUCCGGAGAGCAUGCCUGUUUGAGUGUCAUGAAAUCUCAACCAUUAGGGUUUCUUAAUGGCUUGGAUUUGGGUGUUGCCAGUCUCUGGCUCGCCUUAAAGGAGUUAGCGAGUUUAACAAUGUCCUCUGGCGUAAUAAGUUUCGCUGGAAAGGCUUGUGAAGUUUGCUUCUAAUCGUCUUCGGACAAUUACUUUGACUCUGGCCUCAAAUCAGGUAGGACUACCCGCUGAACUUAAGCAUAUCAAUAAGCGGAGGAAAAGAAACUAACAAGGAUUCCCCUAGUAACGGCGAGUGAACCGGGAAGAGCUCAAAUUUGAAAUCUGGCAGUCUUCGAUUGUCCGAGUUGUAAUCUAUAGAAGCGUUUUCCGUGCUGAACUGUGUCUAAGUCCCUUGGAACAGGGUAUCAAAGAGGGUGACAAUCCCGUACUUGACACAAUCAUCAGUGCUCUGUGAUACGUUCUCUACGAGUCGAGUUGUUUGGGAAUGCAGCUCAAAAUGGGUGGUAAAUUCCAUCUAAAGCUAAAUAUUGGCGAGAGACCGAUAGCGAACAAGUACCGUGAGGGAAAGAUGAAAAGCACUUUGGAAAGGGAGUUAAACAGUACGUGAAAUUGUUGAAAGGGAAAUGAUUGAAGUCAGUCGUGUUCAUUGGAUUCAGCCGGUCUUCGGUGUAUUUCCUUUGAACGGGUCAACAUCAGUUUUGUCCGGUGGAUAAAGGUAGUAGGAAGGUGGCUCCUCCGGGAGUGUUAUAGCCUAUUGCCACAUACACUGGGUGAGACUGAGGACUGCAGCUUGCCUUUAUGGCCGGGGU
rnacentral:rRNA from 1 species